rnacentral:rRNA from 1 species
UACGGAGGGGGCUAGCGUUGUUCGGAAUUACUGGGCGUAAAGCGCACGUAGGCGGCUUUGCAAGUCAGAGGUGAAAGCCCGGGGCUCAACCCCGGAAUUGCCUUUGAGACUGCAUCGCUAGAAUUGUGGAGAGGUAAGUGGAAUUCCGAGUGUAGAGGUGAAAUUCGUAGAUAUCGAGAGGAACACCAGUGGCGAAGGCGAGUCCCUGGACAACACCUGACACUGAGGCACGAAAGCUAGGGGAGCAAACAGG